rnacentral:lncRNA from 1 species
AUCCUCCUAGCUUAUUUUGUACAUAGUAGUUUGUACCUCUUAACCCCGACCCUAGCUUACCCUGCCCCCACUUUUGUAAAAUGCUCCCUUUAUUAAACUCCCCCAAAUACCCAUUUGGCAUGAACACUCUCUUCCUGUCUCCCGCACUCUGAUAAAUACAGAUGGCAUUCAUGUGACUUGAGAUUUUCCAUGUGUGAUGACUGCCUGUUUCAUCAAGUGACGUCGUUAGAGGCUGAAUCUACCUGUGCGCUGCAUGGCUGUGAUUUCACUACAACCAAGCUUUCCCUUGUGUGGGAAGGAAACACUAUGGACCUGCUGGGAGUUGCACAUCAGCCUCGAUUUCUCAGGAACCAGGAGCUCCAGCUUAUCAAGGACCUGAUGGGGUUGAUGAGCCAGCUUUAUUCUAAAUGACUGAAGACUUCUGUUCUUUUCAACAAACACAGUCCUCCAAUUAGGAGCUGCAAAUAAGAUUAUAUGCCCUGAAUAAGUCUGAAAAGGUCCUUUUAUAAUUACAAAGUUUGUGUGUGGGAAGUGGAAGCAGCAUUAAGUGUUCACUGUGGCUUUAUUAAGAGAGUGACAUGAAGAUUUCCCAAAUCUUCAUCUGAGUACUCUAAAAUGAUAAAAUAAAAAUCAUAGAAAACAGUAUGUAUAUUCCA